GAUGAACGCUAGCUACAGGCUUAACACAUGCAAGUCGAGGGGAAACGAUAUUGGAAGCUUGCUUCCGAUAGGCGUCGACCGGCGCACGGGUGAGUAACGCGUAUCCAACCUGCCCACCACUUGGGGAUAACCUUGCGAAAGUAAGACUAAUACCCAAUGACGUCCAUAGAAGACAUCUGAAAUGGAUUAAAGAUUUAUCGGUGAUGGCUGGGGAUGCGUCUGAUUAGCUUGUUGGCGGGGUAACGGCCCACCAAGGCGACGAUCAGUAGGGGGUCUGAGAGGAAGGUCCCCCAGAUUGGAACAGAGACACGGUCCAAACGACUACGGGACGCAGGAGUGAGGAAUAUUGGUCAAUGGGCGAGAGCCUGAACCAGCCAAUUAGCGUGCAGGAUGGCGGCCCUAUGAGUUGUAAACUGCUUUUAUAAGGGAAUAAAGUGAGCCUCGGUAGGCUUUUUGCAUGUACCUUAUGAAUAAGGACCGGCUAAUUCCGUGCCAGCCGCCGCCGUAA
rnacentral:rRNA from 1 species